CUCGCACCCUCAGCUGCGUUAAGGCAGAGUGUGCCCCAGUGUCAUCAACUCACAAAGGACAAGGUUCACAGGGGCCGGCCUCCCUCAGUGGAAAAGCUACAGCUGCUUCUCUUCUCAUCUUCCCCAAGAGCACCCCCAUUCAGGAGAGCCAGGGAAUGUCCCAGGAAUCCACCGGAGGCCCCCAAAGCUCCCAGGAAACUGGACCUGAGUGUGCAGGCACACUCCUUUAGUUCCAGCAUGAAGGAGGCAAAGGCAGGCAGAUCUCGGACUGCAAAGGGCCAAGAAAGUGGUGAACCAUUCAGAGGAAGAAAGUGGUGGACCAUUCGGAAGAAGAAAGUGGUGGACCAUUCGGAAGAAGAAAGCAGGCCUGGCCCAAAGAGAUGCCUAGACUUUCUUUGAAAGUGAUAGUAAUUAAAACAAUGUGGUAUUGGUGCCGAGCUGGACAAAGGGAUCAAUAGAACAAAGUGCCCAGAAAUGGAGCCAAGUGUAUGUGGGGAUUUGAUUUAUGAUGGGGGAGGCACAGCAACUCGGGGAGAGAGCAAGCAGUCUAUUCAAUAAAAAGUGUCGGGACAAUUGGCUUUUCAUAUGAAACCUCUUUACACCAUCCAUAAAUAUUAAUUCCAGAUGGAUUAAAUAUCUCAAAGUGAAAAACAGAACUUUAAAAUAAUUAGGAAAUGUAGGCAAUCUGAGAGUAGGAAAACAGUUCUUACAUAAGAGACACAAUUCAGAAAAGAUUGAUUUUUAUUAUAUUACUGCCCCCCAAAGCCUCUAUUAUAAAAUUGUCAUUAUGAACGAAGUAGAAAGACAAGGAACAGCCUGGGUGGCAAUGUUGGGGACACAUAAAACAGAUAAAGGGUUAGUAUUCAGGUUAUAGAAAGA